UUCAGGGUAGCAAUAUCUUGAAGUCGGAGUGGCGCAAGGGUGCGUAACACGUGGGUAAUUUGCCGUGAAGUUGGGGAUAACUCGCUGAAAGGCGAGCUAAUACCGAAUGUGAUGAUUGGGAGGCAUCUUCUGAUCUUCAAAGUUGGGGACCGCAAGGCCUGACGCUUCACGAUAAGCCCGCGGCCUAUCAGCUAGUUGGUGAGGUAACGGCUCACCAAGGCUAAGACGGGUAGCUGGUCUGAGAGGACGACCAGUCACACUGGAACUGAGACACGGUCCAGACACCUACGGGUGGCAGCAGUCGAGAAUUUUUCUCAAUGGGCGAAAGCCUGAAGGAGCGACGCCGCGUGGGGGAUGAAGGGCUUCGGCCCGUAAACCCCUGUCAUUUGCGAACAAACCUUACGGUCUAACACAUCGUGAGCUGAUUGUAGCGAAAGAGGAAGGGACGGCUAACUCUGUGCCAGCAGCCGCGGUAAUACAGAGGUCCCGAGCGUUGUUCGGAUUCACUGGGCGUAAAGGGUGCGUAGGUGGCAGGGUAAGUUUGAUGUGAAAUCUCCGGGCUUAACCCGGAAACUGCAUUGAAUACUAUCUUGCUCGAGGGUUGGAGGGGGGACUGGAAUUCUCGGUGUAGCA
rnacentral:rRNA from 1 species